GGGCCCGCACAAGCGGUGGAGCAUGUGGUUUAAUUCGAUGAUACGCGAGGAACCUUACCAGGGCUUAAAUGUAGUCUGACAGCUUUAGAGAUAGAGUUUUCUUCGGACAGAUUACAAGGUGCUGCAUGGUUGUCGUCAGCUCGUGCCGUGAGGUGUCAGGUUAAGUCCUAUAACGAGCGCAACCCCUGUCGUUAGUUGCCAGCAUGUCAUGAUGGGGACUCUAACGAGACUGCCGGUGCAAACCGCGAGGAAGGUGGGGAUGACGUCAAAUCAUCACGGCCCUUACGUCCUGGGCCACACACGUGCUACAAUGGUGGUGACAAUGGGUUAAUCCCAAAAGCCAUCUCAGUUCGGAUUGGGGUCUGCAACUCGACCCCAUG
rnacentral:rRNA from 1 species